AAUGAUGAAACCUUGUUGAGUGCAGGGACAUUAAUGGAGGUUUCGUCAUAUAAAAGAAAUAAUCUUUAUCCAAAAUGAAAACUUCUCAGUGCUUUUUAAUAUGAGGAUAUCUGCAGGGGAGCUUGGAAAAUGACAAGGACAAACAACCUGGGGGCUCUGUUGACUUCCAGGGGAACUCCAGGGGGGGAUCUUAUGAAAGAGCACAUAACUAAACAGUCAUUACGUUAAGUACCCCUGCCCACGAUCCUUGGAUUAUGCCUGAACCUUUGCUCCUGCUGCAGAGAAACCCCAUAUGAACCACCGCAAUGACUGCCCCCGCCUCCCGGCGCACAAGCAUGUUGAUAAUUAACAUAUGAAACAGAUUCUCAUUUAGAGAGCGGUAGAAACCAGCAUGCUCUUGGCCCUGUCAACCAUUGCCUAGAGCAGACGUGGGCAACCAGCGGCAUGCAUGCUACAAGUGGCACGGGCAGCUUCUCUGUGUGGUACACGGUAGAUUAGGAAGGGAGCAGAAAGCAGAGAGCAGCAGAUCGGGCUGGGGAAGGGGAUCGGCGUGGUGCUCAGUGGGGCGUGGGACUUAAUUUCCAGCAUGUUUGCCAAAAAGGCGAUCAGCGGGAGUUUGUCUAAGACAAUCGCUAAGCACCUCCUGGAUCAAAGGCCCCUGUCUCUCCAGAAUGCCAAAGGAUUUGCUGUUGAAAGUGCCUGUUCUUCCUUCCCUCUCCCCUGCUCUGAGUGACUGGUUGACAAAAUAAAUCUGUGGAAGAAGGAGGCAGUUCUGAUCUGCUGUCAUCUUCCCAAAGUGCUCCUGA